rnacentral:rRNA from 1 species
AUUGAACGCUGGCGGCAUGCCUUACACAUGCAAGUCGAACGGCAGCGGGGACUUCGGUCCGCCGGCGAGUGGCGAACGGGUGAGUAAUGUAUCGGAACGUACCAUUGAGUGGGGGAUAACGUAGCGAAAGUUACGCUAAUACCGCAUAUUCUCUCCGGAGGAAAGCAGGGGACCGCAAGGCCUUGCGCUCUUUGAGCGGCCGAUAUCAGAUUAGCUAGUUGGUGAGGUAAAGGCUCACCAAGGCGACGAUCUGUAGCGGGUCUGAGAGGAUGAUCCGCCACGCUGGAACUGAGACACGGUCCAGACUCCUACGGGAGGCAGCAGUGGGGAAUUUUGGACAAUGGGGGCAACCCUGAUCCAGCCAUGCCGCGUGUGUGAAGAAGGCCUGAGGGUUGUAAAGCACUUUCAGUGGGGAGGAGGUUAAUUAGGUUAAGAGCUAGAUUAAUGGACGUUACCCACAGAAGAAGCACCGGCUAACUCCGUGCCAGCCGCCGCAGUAA